rnacentral:RNase_P_RNA from 2 species
AGAGUCGGCCGGACGGCUGCUGCCCACCUCGGUGGGGGGAGGAAAGUCCGGGCUCCAUAGGGCAGGGUGCCAGGUAACGCCUGGGCGGCGCAAGCCGACGACCAGUGCAACAGAGAGUAGACCGCCGAUGGCCCAUCGCAAGAUGGUGCACAGGUAAGGGUGAAAGGGUGCGGUAAGAGCGCACCGCGCGGCUGGCAACAGUUCGUGGCACGGUAAACUCCACCCGGAGCAAGACCAAAUAGGCCCCCAAUACGCGCGGCCCGCGCGGGGGGCGGGUAGGUUGCUUGAGCCAGUGAGCGAUUGCUGGCCUAGACGAAUGGCCGUUCAAGACAGAACCCGGCUUACAGGCCGGCUCUGCGG